rnacentral:rRNA from 1 species
GUCUGAGGUACUCAGGGGUAGGGGUGAAAUCUUAUAAUCCUUGUAGGACCACCAGUGGCGAAAGCGUCAGACUGGAACGCGCCUGACGGUGAGGGACGAAAGCCAGGGGAGCGAACCGGAUUAGAUACCCGGGUAGUCCUGGCCGUAAACGAUGCAUACUAGGCAAUGGUGCGGCCAUGAGCCGCAUCAGUACCGUAGGGAAACCGUUAAGUGUGCCGCCUGGGAAGUACGGUCGCAAGGCUAAAACUUAAAGGAAUUGGCGGGGGAGCACCACAAGGGGUGAAGCCUGCGGUUCAAUUGGACUCAACGCCGGGAAACUUACCAGGGGAGACAGCAGAAUGACAGUCAGGUUGACGACCUUACUCGACGAGCUGAGAGGAGGUGCAUGGCCGUCGCCAGUUCGUGCUGUGAGGUAUCCUGUUAAGUCAGGCAACGAACGAGAUCCGCGCCUUUAUUUGCCAUCAAGAAGUCACGACUUCGUUGGGAACACUAAAGGGACCGCCGUCGAUAAGACGGAGGAAGGAGCGGGCAAAGGCAGGUCAGUAUGCCCCGAAACCCCUGGGCUACACGCGGGCUGCAAUGGUGCGAACAAUGGGCUGUAACUCCGAAAGGAGAAACCAAUCCCGAAAUCGCAUCUCAGUGGGGAUUGUCGACUGUAACUCGUUGACAUGAACGUGGAAUCCCUAGUAAUCGCGUGUCACCAUCGCGCGGUGAAUACGUCUCUGCUCCUUGCACACACCGCCCGUCGCUCCAUCCGAGUGUGCUAAAAAUGAGGCACGGUCAGUCUGGUCGUGUCGAGUUUCUAGUAUGCGAG